CAUUUUAGGUGACAGCUUCUGUUCAAGCCUGUUACCACGAUUGAGCAGUUUUACUAGGACUGUUCAAUCUUGAGAAAACCACUCCUAUAAGGAUGGUUUUUUUCA
rnacentral:antisense_RNA from 5 species